GAGGGUAUAGCUUAGUGGUAGAGCGCGUGCCUAAUAUACCUGAGGUUCUGGGUUCAGUCCCCAGUACCUCCA
rnacentral:tRNA from 1 species